GAUGAACGCUGGCGGCGUGCUUAACACAUGCGAGUCGAACGGAAAGGCUCCUGCUUGCAGGGGUACUCGAGUGGCGAACGGGUGAGUAACACGUGGGUGAUCUGCCCUGCACUUCGGGAUAAGCCUGGGAAACUGGGUCUAAUACCGGAUAGGACCACAUUUUGGAUGGUGUGGUGGAAAGUUUUUCGGUGUGGGAUGAGCUCGCGGCCUAUCAGCUUGUUGGUGGGGUAAUGGCCUACCAAGGCGUCGACGGGUAGCCGGCCUGAGAGGGUGUACGGCCACAUUGGGACUGAGAUACGGCCCAGACUCCUACGGGAGGCAGCAGUGGGGAAUAUUGCACAACGGGCGCAAGCCUGAUGCAGCGACGCCGCGUGGGGGAUGACGGCCUUCGGGUUGUAAACUCCUUUCGCUAGGGACGAAGCGCAAGUGACGGUACCUGGAGAAGAAGCACCGGCUAACUACGUG
rnacentral:rRNA from 1 species